CCUACGGGAGACUGCAGUGAGGAAUAUUGGUCAAUGGCCGCAGGGCUGAACCAGCCAAGUCGCGUGAGGGAUGACGGUCCUAUGGAUUGUAAACCUCUUUUGUCAGGGAGCAAAGGGCGCCACGUGUGGCGCUUUGCGAGUACCUGAAGAAAAAGCAUCGGCUAACUCCGUGCCAGCAGCCGCGGUAAUACGGAGGAUGCGAGCGUUAUCCGGAUUUAUUGGGUUAAAAGGGUGCGCAGGCGGAAUGUCAAGUCAGCGGUAAAAUUUCGGGGCUCAACCCCGUCGUGCCGUUGAAACUGGCGUUCUUGAGUGAGCGAGAAGUAUGCGGAAUGCGUGGUGUAGCGGUGAAAUGCAUAGAGAUCACGCAGAACUCCGAUGGCGAAGGCAGCAUACCGGCGCUCAACUGACGCUCAUGCACGAAAGCGUGGGUAUCGAACAGGAUUAGAUACCCGAGUAGUC
rnacentral:rRNA from 1 species